UACGUAGGGAGCAAGCGUUGUCCGGAAUCAUUGGGCGUAAAGCGCGCGUAGGUGGCCAUGUAAGUCCGCUGUGAAAGUCAAAGGCUCAACCUUUGAAAGCCGAUGGAUACUGCAUAGCUAGAGUACGGAAGAGGCGAGUGGAAUUCCUGGUGUAGCGGUGGAAUGCGCAGAUAUCAGGAGGAACACCAAUAGCGAAGGCAGCUCGCUGGGACGUUACUGACACUGAGGCGUGAAAGCGUGGGGAGCGAACAGG
rnacentral:rRNA from 1 species